UACGGAGGGUGCAAACGUUGCUCGGAAUUAUUGGGCGUAAAGCGCACGUAGGCGGACCACCAAGUCGGAUGUGAAAGCCCUCGGCUUAACCGAGGAAGUGCACUCGAAACUGGCGGUCUUGAGUACGGGAGAGGGUCGCGGAAUUCCCGGUGGAGCGGUGAAAUGCGUUGAUAUCGGAAGGAACGCCGGUGGCGAAAGCGACACACUGGAUCUCUUCUGACGCUGAGGCGCGAAAGCCAGGGGAGCAAACGGG
rnacentral:rRNA from 1 species